rnacentral:rRNA from 1 species
GACGAACGCUGGCGGCGUGCCUAAUACAUGCAAGUCGAACGGAGCGGCGGACGGGUGAGUAAUGCCUAUGAAUCUGCCUGGUAGUGGGGGAUAACGUCCGGAAACGGGCGCUAAUACCGCAUACUAGCAGAUGAGCCUAGGUCGGAUUAGAUAGUUGGUGGGGUAAAGGCCUACCAAGGCGACGAUCCGUAACUGGUCUGAGAGGAGGAUCAGUCACACUGGAACUGAGACACGGUCCAGACUCCUACGGGAGGCAGCAGUGGGGAAUAUUGGACAAUGGGCGAAAGCCUGAUCCAGCCAUGCCGCGUGUAUGAAGAAGGCCCUAGGGUUGUAAAGUACUUUCAGUCGGGAGGCGUUACCGACAGAAGAAGCACCGGCUAACUCCGUGCCAGCCGCCGCGGUAAUUC